rnacentral:rRNA from 1 species
AUGAGUAACAGACGCGGCGGGAGGAGCGACGGGCACGGGAUCCAGACGCGGCGGGGCCACGGCGGGAGGAGCGACGGGCACGGGAACCAGACGAGGCGGAGCCACGGCGGGAGGUGCGACGGGCUCGACGGUGGCGGCGAAGGGGAAGACGUGCUCGUCGAAAAGGACGUGGCGGGAGGUGAGGACUCGGCGAGUAGUGGGAUCGUAGCAGCGGUAACCGCCACGGCGUCCGGGAGGAUGGCAUCACGCAAGACGCCGGUGCCAGGGGCAUCACCAGCAGCGUCGCACAGAACACCGUCGCCAUCGUGGGAGGAACGGGGAGAUGAGAUGGGAUUGGUGUCCAUGGCAGCGAAAGGGAGGUUGGGAUCGGGCCAGAGCACGCAUCCCCCAUCGAUCACCUUCUCCACCAUGGCGACGGAAGAAGAACCGACGGUCGAGCUGAAGCUUUUCGUGGACAAGGAGAAGAACAGGGUCCUCUUCGCGGAGUCCGGCAAAGAGUUCAUCGACGUGCUCUUCGGCUUCCUCACGCUGCCUCUCGGCACCGUCGUUCGCCUCCUCGGCAAGCAGUCCCAGGUCGGAUGCCUCGACGAGAUCUACAAGAGCGUGGAGGAGCUCUCCACAGACUUCUUCAGAACCGUGGCCUGCAAGGCGAUGCUGCUUAGGCCCAUCAGCGCUGCGGCGAAGCAAUGCUGCGACCUCAAGGUCAGAGUCGACGACACCAAGCACAGGGAGGUCUAUGUUUGCGGCGACACGAGCUGCUGCGCCAAGGCCGACGGCUCGUUUAGCUCGGUCCCCGGCGCUGUCCGCAAAUGCGGCAAAGUCAUGGGGCAGAUCCCUGGAGAGUGGCCGGAGAAUUGUGAUAUCACUUUUGCUACUGGUUCUGCAGAUGGAGUUUUUGUCAAAGGAUGCUUGAAGUUUAUCGUGACUGAUGAUCUCCAAGUAGCACCAGCCUCAACUUCUCUCAUGUUGUCACUUUUUAAGAAGUUUGGGGUGGAGGAUCCCUCCCGUCUUGAGCAGAGGAUGAUCCAGCUCAGUUCAGUCGAGAUGACUAACUUGCUCAAGAGAUCAUUGACGUCGAAGCAGCCUUUAACUGGUCACUGUUUUGAUGUUGCCAUCUCAAAUGAUGUUUCAGCCCUAGAGAUGCUACUGGAGAGUUUACAUCCUAAGCAGGGAAAUGAUGCUGAGCAUGAGUUGGACAAUGUGAGGAUAAGAGUUCUUCGGACGAACAGCUCAUCGCUGCUCUAUGCUGAAGUUAAUGACGAUUUCGUCGAGCUCCUAUUUGGCUUCCUGACCGUACCACUGGGAUCCAUCAUUAAGACUUAUGGUUCAUGGCCAUCAAUUGGAUGCAUCGGUAAUCUGUACAGUAGCAUAGAUGGAAGUGCUAAAGGAUGCAUCAGAGAACCAUGCCAGUGCUUGCUACUAUCACCAAAGCUGGCACCUUUCUUUACUUCUGAAGCUACUAAGAUAGUGCAAGCUGAAGAAUCAGCUCAAAGGAAGCAACAAAUUAAGGCAUGCUUCAAGUGCAUCAAGACAUUAGGUUUUCCCAAGCAUGUCAACUGUCACGCGAAAGAUCGACAUGGCAAUUAUGUGAAUUGCCGUGACACUGUAAAGACCACAAACCUCUGUGAAUGUGAUCCGAAAUCCCCAAAGGGAGGAAGUGACAAGGGUAAAGGGUAUGUCAAGCAAGGCCCUCAGAACUUCAUGGUGACUGAUAAUCUGCAUGUUCUUCCACUAUCCUUGGAGAACACUAUACAAGUUGUUUGUGAGGCCAAGAUUCAGUCAAAUGAUCUUGCGGAGAAAGAAUUCAGCCUCGCAAAAUCUCAGCUGACGGAGCUACUGAAAGCCGCCUAG